GACCUACGGGACGCAGCAGUCGGGAAUAUUGCGCAAUGGAGGAAACUCUGAUGCAGCAACGCCGCGUGAGUGAAGAAGUAUUUCGGUAUGUAAAGCUCUAUCAGCAGGGAAGAAGAAAGACGGUACCUGACUAAGAAGCCCCGGCUAACUACGUGCCAGCAGCCGCGGUAAUACGUAGGGGGCAAGCGUUAUCCGGAAUUACUGGGUGUAAAGGGAGCGUAGACGGCAAUGCAAGUCCGGAGUGGAAUGCGGCAGCUCAACUGCCGAACUGCUCUGGAAACUGUAUGGCUUGAGUGCAGGAGGGG
rnacentral:rRNA from 1 species